rnacentral:lncRNA from 10 species
CUUCUCUACCUGAAAACAACACAGAGGAAAGGUGGCUCUUCCCUUCUCCCUUCACAGCAAGAUAAUUCCCUGGCAUGUUCUUGCCACAUUCUGCCUUCCAGGAUCUGAAGGUCUACCCUGAGAUGAAGUCCUCUGUCUGGCUCUUUUUCUAUUCUGAUAGCCCUUCUAGCUGCUGCCUGCUUGCCUGCCUGCCUGCCUGCCUGCCUGCCUACUUCUGCAACUAAUUCCUGUUCCUUUGUUUGCUGCCUCUUUUUUCUAUGACAAUGUAACAAGAAGCCUACCUGAGGCAAGUUUCAGGUGGGCAUUACAAAAACAUCUUGUUGACUUCCAUCCCCACCCCAUACUUUGUCCUGCUCAGGAGCUGAGCUUCCUCCUAGCUGGAUCUAUGGCCCAGAACGAACUCAAUGUAAGCCCACCCGGGCGUGAGUCUGUCCCACAAUGGGCCUUAUAUUUCACAAUUCCUUCAGGUCUUGCCCUACCCUACCCUCAGCCAUUCUCUACUCCAAAUUAUUUUUUAUCUGCCACUCUGUAGGCCUGCCCUGCCCCAUAGCCUGUGGCCACUCAUGAGUACUGAGUACUAGAAAUGUAAUGAGUUCAAAUGGAGAUAAAAUAAUGUAAAAUGCCUCAUUAAUAAUUUUAUGUUGAUUUCAUGUUCAGAUAAUAUUUUAGAUGCAUUAUGUUAAAGAAAAUAUAAAUUAUUUUUUUCUUUUUAUUUAAGAAAUGUGGUUUAAGAAAAUUUAAAAUUACAUAUGCAGCUGGCAUGUGUGGCUUGCAUUAUGUUUUUAUUGAAGAAUGCUCUUUGGCAGUCUCUUUAAAAAUCAUAAUCUGGCCCCUCUAUUCCCCCGAUUAAACCCUUUCAUGGGCUCCCCGGAACAGGACUCAAAUUCCCUAAUGUGACCGGAUGACUUUCCUGAUCUGGGCCCUAUUUGGUUCUCCAUCUCCCCCUAUUCUCCUGCCCCACUGAAUUACAUAUGUGAAGUCAUAUGAGUGGUCCCUGCUUCUCCUCACCUCUAGACCUGUGCUCAUGCCAAUUUCUCCAUCUAGAAAGCCCUUCCUCCUGGUAGUUCAGCCUUAAAUUGUAUGUCACAAUUUAAAUGUCAGUAUGCUUGAGUUUAUGUGCCCCUCAUCUACCUUCCUAGUGUCCAGUGCUUGCUCUUCUCAUAGCCCUCAUCACAGAGCAUUUAACCCCUCUCUGCCC